AUAGGAAGUUGGAGCUGCCACUUAUGCUGGGAACUGCUCAAAGAGAAAGCCUCUGCCUUUGGCUGCCAGGCCUAGAGCCCCAGGUCACAGCAUGUGACUUGCUGCUGGAGAGGUGGAGCCAGAGCCCAGUCUAAACCAGAUGGAGCCCUCCUCCCAUACAUCCAGACAGACCAACGGAGAGGAAAAUGAAUAGUCACAGAAGGGCGUGGACACAGGGAACCGAGAGGACCCGGUAUCUACUUACCUCCUGCCCCACAGAUGGUACUUCAGCCAGCACCUCCUUGCUUCUACCAGAAGGAUCUUGCACUUUUGAAGAACAAGGCCCAGCCCCAGCGCUGUGGAACCCUCUCACUUUUACCUUGGCACUGCGCCCCUCCCACGGGUUUCCAAUUUAAGGGAAGCCCUUUUGUGACCACUGUCAACCACUCAUGUGACUUGAUGCUUUUUAUCUAUGGUGUUCCAAGAGAUCUGUGCACAUCCUCCUCACCCCCAGCUUACACCCUUCACCCUAAAUUCUCACCAGAGGAAUGAAGUGCCGUGGAGAAGUUGUUGUUCAUCACAAGCCUCACGGGGAAACUUCUAGACUUGGAUUCUAGAAGCCAUCUUGAAGAUGGAGACUUGACCCCACCCCCACCUCCCUUCUUGUUCCUUGGUCUCUGUGAAGAGGAAGUGGUACUUUCUAGAACCCCAGCAGUGGUCUCCACAGUCGGGGUGGGGGUCCUUCAUCCACUGUGUUAUCACUUGAUGGGGGGGGGUGGGGGUUUUGGGACCGAGAGAUGGGAGGAAACAUUGGGAGAAUGACGCUAAGGUCCUGCUAUGGCCAGUCAGUAUUGGUUAUCCAUCAGGAGAAACUGGUUCUUUGACCUUCAGAGCCAAGGCCUUGUGAGGUGACAAGCCACAGCCCAUGGACAGAGAAAAAUGGUCCAGACUCUGCCUUCAAACCAAGCUGGUUAGAGGCCUAGUUUUGUUUCCCCUGGUGGGAUCCAAGCACUGGGAGGUGAGCAAAGCCUACCCAGUCCAGUGUCCAAAUGUUGGUUUUAAGGGACCGCAGCCUUGAGAACCCCUUCAGUAUCGACGCGACACUACCAAUUCCUUUGCCCAAGCAAUUUCUUCCUUCCCCACGGUGUAGGUUUGCUAUUGUCUAUUGAGACCUGACUGGAAACUUUAGGAUGGAGGAGAGAAGGUCGUUACUCCAGCAGAUGAUUAGGGUGAUGUGAUCAUUUGUGAUCGGGUGGCAGUGGUUCAGAACCCUCAGCCUGUGGGCUGUUCUUGUGUCCUGAGCUCCCCCAUAUGAGCUGGACUCUUGUUUUAUAAAACAAACAUGUUUCUAGAAGAAAGAGGUGGGGAGGCCUAGAUUCCGAGAACUGUCGGUUGGAAUACAGCCCCGUGGGCUGGAGUGGAUCAGACUGUCUUUGAAUUGCAGCAACAGCACAGUAACUGACACAUUUCUGGAAAAAUCAUUUACCCAAAGGGCAGGUCUCAGUCAGUGGGACCCUCGCGCCUGCUCGGCUUCCCUGAAACCUGCUCCAUCUCUGUGGUCCAGCAGCUUACAACAAAGACCCAGGUUAUUUUUAGUCCUUUAGCUGCUGAAGAAGCCCCCGGAGACUCGGGCUGGCUGGGCCACUUCUACCCUGCUGCGGUGUUCACUCUGGGACCUGGCAGGGGCCUUCUUCUCCGGGGAAAUUGCUCUUGGCCAGUGGAUCCAGGGCAGCAUGGCGCGCAGCCAGGCAGUGUGAGUCUCCCCCAUUCCUUUGCAGAGGGACUUGAGGGUCACUCUCCUGCAGGCCCCUUGGCCUCAGGGUGAGUUACAUGCAUACAUAAUGAUUUCAUUUAAAGGGCCUCUGUCCAGAUGGGAUUUCCAUCUUCUCCAAAGCUAUUUUAUUCCUCCUGCAGGCUGCUGGGCCCAUCUGGGUUUGGAAGGCCCUGGGAGGAUUUGAGGGUCCCAUCAGAGCAGAGGGGCGCAUUUCCUAUUCUCACUACUCUGGAUCUCUCUCCUCCCACAAACCCCAAAGCAGGGUGUCCUUAAAUGGUGAUUAUUGGCUUUGAGAUUCAUUUUUAACUAGUUUUAGGAAAAAAAAAAAAGUUCCCCAAUGUUCCCAAAUGCCACAGUGACUUGAAAGUUAAAGGCGUAAAUCCAAAACCAAAAGUUCUGGUUCUGCGACUCGACAGGCCCUCUUUUGGAGCAUGUGUGAAUCUGCUCCCCAAAGAAAUGCAGAUGAAGGGUGCCCUGUUCUAUCUCCUACCAAGACUGCUGUGGGCACAGAAGCUGAGGGUGGACAGAUCUCUCCAGCCAGGGUGAGGCACUGGAGCUUGCCUGAGGAUGCUGGUCUGGUCAGGGCUCUGAGUAGUUCCCUACUGUGUUUCUUUACUCUCCUCCCAACCCAACCUCCCUCCUCUUUGGAGCCCUAAUUUUCUCCAUCCAGAAAGUGGGUAUAGCAAAGCAGGUGGAUCUGUCAGGGUACCACAGAAGUCUCCAGAGUCACCUUUACCAUCUUUUGCACUGGAAAAAGGAAGGUGUUGGUAAACUUCAAAUUGGUCUCAUUCUUUGAGUCCCUGAGAACAAACUGGAAUCCUAGGGUGCAUGUGAAGGAUCAGGGUUUUAGUUUUACCUCUGCCGUUAAAUAGCUGUACAACCUUGGGCAAGUCACUUAAUCUCUGAACUUCAGUCCCUCUCACCCCUGUAAAAUUGAGAUGGUAACUCUUGCCUGCCUGUUCCACAGUGACACUGGGUGUCUUAAAAAGCAUAAUGUUAUUUAAAAGCCACUGCAGAAUUGAGCUUGUCUGAGAGGAACUCCAAAUGCCUUCCAUGUUUGUCUUGUAUGACAGCCAAAGUUAGAUGCCUUCUUGAAUCUCCCUUUUGACCAGAGGGGAUUUAGGUUUUAAGAACCAGGCUGCCUGUGGUCAGGACCACUAGGCCAGGGCUCAAUCAAGGAGACUGUGGGCUGCAUGGGCUCUGGUGGGAGGUAAGGAUUUGCCAUCGGACUCAGGACUUCAAGAUCCUGUCCCUACCUCCAAGGUUAACCAGCUUGGAAUAGCAAACUGGCUUUUACAGAGGGUGUCAAUCAUUUCAGGUCAGUAUAACACUCUCUUUUACCUUGGUUUAAAGCCCAGCUCUGCUUCUUUUUAGCUGGUUAACUUUGGACAAGUGGCUUUCCUUCUCUGAACCUCAUUGCCCAAGGAGUAAGGUGGGUGUAAGAUGUCUAUCUAGAAGCCAGGUCAUUGCAGGGAUUAGGAUAAAGCUGGAAAAAUCCUAUGUGGGCCUGGUAGAAUGAAGGUCCCCUCUCCAUGAGAGCUACUGUCAUUUGAUGCUAAGGCCACAGAGUGGAGAUAAUGACUCUGUUGCCUCCAGCUCAAAUCCCUGGAACAGAAAGGGCCCUUUUGCUCCAUUUCACCCCUAGACUGUGGCUUCUGCAGACCAGAGAGGUGGGGCUACAGGAUCUGAACCGGAAGAAGAAAUCCUGUUCCCUUACAGACAUUUUGGAAACACUGCUUUUGGGGCCUGCAGGAAAUCCAGAACAGGCAACUUUGUGAGGAGAUAGAAUCGAGGCCCCUGCUAGAUUUCCAUUCCACAGACCUGCAGCCCCUGAGGCAGGACCCAGCAGGUCCCGAGGCUCCCGGCUCCGCCACUGCCCCAGGGCCAGGUAGGAAGCCCAGGCAGGCUGCAGAGAGCAGCCCUUCCUGUGGUUCAGGCUCAGACAGCUGUGGGUAUGUGGGAGGCCCGAGGCCUUCCGGGCUGGGGAAGAUCCGGGUUUCAAGGUGGGGAGGGCCCGGGUUUCCCAGGGGAGGCUUCAUGGUGCCCAGGGGAGUAACACUCCGGGUACAGUUUUAUCUUCCUGCUCUAAAUGCAGCACGAUUCCUUUCCAGCUUUCCCCCUAAAAAGCCCAGAUAUCUCAAGGAAGAAAAAUGACAUGGUGUUAUUACGCUUCCUUCGAGGGCAAGAGACCUGUGCUCUUCUGUGUGUGGAAGGAAGAUUACUGACAACCUUAGGCUCCAGGAUGCAGAGAAAAGGGGCUUUUAGUCUCCUCUUUGAGCCACACGUGUGAGGGGCAAAGCUUGGCUGGUGGCCCAGGGCAGGGCCUGAGGACCUCCUUGCCUGUCCCCUAGGCUGGCUCUCAGCCUGUUCUGAAGGUGCUGAGAGGACAGUUCUCCCCCUUCCUCUGUGGAUUCCCUCCCUCAACUCCUCCUUAGGGUGUUCCGAAGUCACAGUCCAGGGGAGAAGUGGGCUGACCCGGAUGGAUCCAGGUUCACACUCCCACUGAGAUGCCACCAGUCCAGGGCUGGCUCCUUUAAGGAGCAGCAGUUGGUGUCACCUUUAGUGAGCUGGCCUCCCUGGAGAAGCUGAGGAAGUGGGGAGGGUGGGGAGGCUGGAGGAAGGAGGUGAAGAGAUAAGCCUAAUAAGGAAAAGGGAGGGGACAGCCCUUGGGGAGGCCAUUAAGCCUGUGACAGAACAAGGUGGGCACCUGGUUUCCUUAGGGAAAAAUCCUGGAGCAGAUAACCAGAGAGCAAGGGGUAGGGUGACGAAUUUUCAUAACCCAUUUUUUCUCAGGCUUGUGAUCCUAUACAAAAACAACCCCCCCCCACAACCCCAAACAAAACAAACAAAAAACCCAAACCUUUGCCCACAGUGGACACUGAACCAGGCCCCUGUUUCUCAAGGCCUCUGGUCUCUGGCUCCCUGUUGGAUAGGGGGGCUUCUGAGGGCACAGCAGACGGGAGCAGUACCCCUCAUUCACCUGGAGGUGGGAGGGACCGCCUGACAGAUCCCCGGGCAUUUCCCCACUCCUCUGGACAAGUGUCAUUCUGACUUCCUGAGAUAAGCUGCUGGAGGCCCUCGGGUCUAGAUUGGCCAGAUUUGGGGGACAGAUGGCAGCAAAGGGUGGGCUAGAUCCUGGCCUGCAGGCUUAGGGAGUGGUGGGGUUCUAGGCACUGCUACCAGAAGGCAUAAUACCCCAAGUCCAGGAGGCCAGCAGCUGGGCAGUGAAUAGUGGCCCUGGCCAGUGUGGUCGGCAUCUGGAGCUCAGCAAAGGAGAAUCUGUUCCUUGCUUGUGUUACCCUUUUUGGAAUUUUGCUCCCACCCCUGAAGGAUGCUUCUGGUUUUCAGCUGAGCUCAGUUUUUUCUGCAUGCCAGGUGAGGAACGGGGUGGUGGGGUGGUGGGAAGGAACAGACACUUCAAUUUGUCUCAGGCCUGCAAUCUCCCCACCCAAACCUUAACUGCCCUAAUAUGCAGUCAGAAGGGUGGUCCCUGUGAUUGUCUUCAAUUUGGGGUUCCUUCCCCAUUUCUAAGCAUGCCCAGGGCUUGAGAUCUAUUUAUGGUUCGCAGCCAGAAGCCACCACCACUUGCCCUAAGUGUAGAAAAUGUACAAAAGAUGGGUUGGUUCAGGGCUUUGAGAGCUGGGAAUCCUUUUCUAAGGAAGCUGAAGAGCCUCUGGUGGAUAUGAGGGACAGCUGGGGUACUUUCUCUUAGAGGGAGGAGGAGAGAGAAGGAUGUGGGUGCCGCUUGCUCAGCACCCUGGACAUGGGAGGGUGGACAGAUGCAGACAGAGGGGGAGCUCCUAUGAGCAUCUCAGCAGCUGCUCGCAGGAAAGCAUGGCUGCCGAGCCCCCUCUCCAUACUCAGGCUGCUGGGAAGAGAGGCGGAAAGGAAGUCCCUCCAGGAAACCCAGGGGGCGGGAAUGGUCCCACUUUGCCAGUCCUGCGUUCAGUGCAUUCCCAGAAAGAACAGGGAGCUCCCGGUGAGGAGCAAGUGUUGGAAGUGAGUGGAUUUCCCAGAGCCUCUCUCUGGGUUCCCGGUGAAUCUUGCCUGCCCCUCAGGCCUGGGGGGAGGGGGGGGUGUCCCCGCCUGCCCUGAGGGAUGUCACAGGGUCAGAGCAGGGGGAUGCCCCUCGGUUUCAGACUCUAUUCCCACUUUCUUUUGCUCCAGCCUCAGCCUCAUAUUGUGGGGCCAGCAGCCUUGACAGUGGGACAUUCCAGGGUUUCCCCCCCUUUGGCCCCACCAUGAGAAAGGAGUGUUUGUGCUGAGGGUGACAUUUCCCAGGGCAAGCCAGAGGAAGCCAGGGCUGGGACUGGCAGGCAGCCAGAAUCCUCUUGGACAGAGAUAUAAUUACUAAUAAUGACCUCUAGCCCAGGCAGCGAGGAAGAUGGCCAUUCAGGUCGGCACCAACUCAGUCUGGCACAUAAGCACUGCCGUGGCAGGAAAGAGGUCCCUGUGUGCAACGCAAUGGGGGAAACCUGUGAGUCCCUGGGGCCUGGGUACUACCUCAGCAGCACAGCCCCAUGGACCCCCAGGUUAUAGUUACGCCCUCUGCAUUUCAUUGGCUCGCGCCUCUGCAUCCCUGUAAUUUGUAUUAUAUUACUAAUAUUGAUGAGAACGGAGAUAUACAGGUACACACACACACACACACACACACACACACACACACCCUGCUUGAUGAAUUAAAGAGAGCUCUCCGUGUUGCUCCAGGAUGAGAGGGAGAGCCAGCAGCUACCAGACCAGAUACAUCUGCCCCGAAGGCCUUCUCCAGACAGGAAUUCCAGCUCCCAGACCCUGCAGAGCCACAGAGGUCACACAGGGGACUUGGUGCUUGAAAAACCAUUGGCUCCCUCCACUCUCUCCAUCUCUCCCCUACUCACUUCUGCUUCUUUGGGAGAGAUGUUUGGCCAUCCUUGAGGACUUGGAAAAACAAAACAAAACAAAACAAAAGUCUUGAUUGCAUUAUCAAAGGGAUGCAAUGACUUUAUGGCUAGAAUUGGGGCUGGGUUUUUAUUGACUUUGCUCUUUCAUAUUUAUUCCCUACUGAGACCUUUGCUCUCUUCUUUUCCUGCCUUCUACCUUCCCUAUACCUUCCCCUCCCUUCCCUCCUGCCAUGGCUAGAUGCUAAAGAGUGGGGUGGUGGUGGGAAGACUCGGUGGCAUAAAAGAAAAACAAAAUAUACCCCUGUGCGUUUUCAACAUGUAGUUGAAGAGAACUAAAUUAGGGACUAGAAAAAAGCAAAAGAAACAUUGCUAGAUAAUAUGUGAGUAAGAGCAUGAAAAUAUAGAAUGAUAAUCUCUGAGCAGAGGCGGUAGGCAGGGAGUCCUGGCUUACUAGUGCAUCUGGGACAGGUGGCAUUUGGGAAAGCAGGCAGACCACACAUUUUCACUAAACGGCCAGGUGCUUGAGAGCGCCUGUGCUCCUCUGGCCAGAAAAGGGAGUGUGUCCAUCCUACUCGUCCACUACUCAUCUGCCAUACUGGUCCACUCUUGGGUGUGUUUCCUCUGAGAGCAAAUAAGCACAUCUCUUGCCCUCAGAGAGGGAUCGCUGGGCAGGCUGGUACUGGCUAGGACAUUUGGCAGAGUCUUGACUGUGAGCAAAGUAAUGUGCUAGGUCUUAUGUGGUUGCUAGAUAAAUAAAACCUCACCCUGGCUCUGCCUCCAAGUUGCUUUUCAGCUAUAAAACUUAGCUUUCCCAAAGAAUCCUGAUCACAUUUGAAGUAUUGUGCCAGUGAGGAAGGUUUGUGUGUAUCCAGGUCUCUGGAUGCCCGUUCAUCUGUACAAGAGUAGCACGUGAAAACAUCUAGCUAUUUCCACACUAGUUGGGGAGAGGAACACAGAUGAUCUCAGCCUAGUCGCUUUUCUGUUUUUCCAAGUGCUGGCUGCCCUGGGAAGGUAAACAUCCUUAGCAUGGGAGUUCCCGAGGUCAUCUUCAUGCUUGGAGGGUGCCAGGCAGCCAGGGAAUCUGAGGCUGGGUCUCCAGUGCUGCUUUCAAAUUCCUGGGAAGAGUGGGAGGAGGUGCAAUUGGCAGGUGCAAUUGCAGACGUGGAAAGUGACCCACAUGAUGGUCAGAAAGCAGAGAGGGUAGGAAGCGGCGGGGUACAGACUGAUGCCCUUAUUGGGUGGUCUCCCACAGAGACCCCGUCGAGGUUGACACAUCCUUGGGGAGCCCGCCUCUGGCAUGGCUGGUGGGUGUGUAGAUGAAGCCCAACAUCAGAGAUGUUUUCUGUUAACCUCCUCCCCCCGCUUUUGGCCAGGCACUCAUCAGCUUCUGGCUUCCGGGUUCGUUUGACUCCCAGCUGCCUCUAUCGACAACAUCGGAUAAACCAUUUAUUUCUUCUCCAUUUUCUCUGCACACAUUACAGCCAGGUUUCAGCUUUUAGCUGUUCCCUGAAGAAGCCACACCAGGCUCACUUGCAAGUGAAAUGCCUGACUUGGGGGAGGCAUGCUCCGGCCCACGUGGAGAGGUCAGCUCAGGGCUGGCCUAAAGAGGCCUGUGGCCUUUCUGUGAGGAGGCCCAGGGGAAGUACUGUUUGGGGGAUCUGGACAGCACCUGGCUGUUAGCAAGGUGAUUUUGGUGAUUUCUAUGGAGAGUCAGAGACAUGGGAUUUGGCUGUGAGUUCCAUUCUAAAGUGCUUGAGAACCUGAAGGGAGUUCCAGGGUUUGAUCUACCCAUCUGUUUAAAAGCCUGUGGGCAAGGUCCUUUUGAACCUAACCUUCUUCGAAUGGCCAGUCUCCCCUUAUCCUUAUUGCUAGCAGGAGAGGAGAGGGAACUGUCAUUCAAGUUGGAUCCUAACCAGGCCAGACUGGAAGUAUUGCCCCUAAGCAGUGGACAAUGGCCCUUGAUCCCAUGAUUCCUCUGCUCUGUGACUUUGGUGAGGUCUGCCCCUGCUUAACGAACCCUGGGGUUCUUCUGGGUGGAUAUUGGCAGGAGGGUCUAGGGGUAGGAAAGUCCCAUGGGGGAGAAACCUGCCCUGCUCUCCUGUGAGGAAGCUCAUGUCUGCACAAGUUUCUUGGAAGGCAUGGAAGUUGGUGGGCUGAGUCAGAGAGUGUGGGGCAUUUGGGAAGGGGACCCUGGAAAUGUUCUGAUGAUCUCCAAUCACUGGGCCUCCACUGGUGCCUGUGUACUUGUAGAUGCAAUACCAACUUCCUCCAGGUGGGGGUACAAGAGAUGGAAGCCAUUCCAGCAUCCCACCCCUAGGCUCCUACAGGCUUUCUUUUCUUUUACCCACCCACCACAGCUCCUUCUGAAACUCUUAGUCAUAAAGGAAUGGCCAAGAGAGUUGGCCUCCAGCCCUAGAAAUGCCUGCAAAUGAGAGUCUUCCUUUUAUGUCCUUGGACACUCUCCCCGUUGGACCUCAGGACCUAACACCACGUUGCCUCUUGCUGACUGAGCAACCUAGACGUUUUGCCUUGAGCUACUUGCUACAGUGUGCAGGACUGAGGCUGACACAGCUUUCAUGAGGUUAGAGAAAAGGGCUGCAGAUCUGGGAAGUUGUGUGUAAUGGUCUGGAGACGAUAUUUCCAUUUGGCUUGCUUUGGCUUCUCUAAAAAGCAACCAUAGCAACAAACAAACAGGAAGCCCCCAUCCCCCACUCUGCAAGCUCUCCUCCUCUUUCAGGUGUAAUGUGAUUGUAGUCUCAGUCUACAGGUGUGUGUGCCACUCUGGUCCUCUGUCUUCUAGGGAUGCUCCUUUCUCCUGUGUGUCAAUUCCCACUCCUUUGUAGCUCCAAGUGUGAAGUGCAGUGAUGUCCUGCCCUGUCUAAGGGAUCUAUUGAGACCUCUUGGUGUUUCAGUAUUGGAGAUGAGGCUGUGCCACAUCUCCCACCACCCUAAGGGGAUACUCUGGUUUGGUGACUUCCCAGAGAACUGGCAUAUGGUGAAUGUCUCCAGGAGAAUCUACAGGUUGGAAACAGCCCACAUCUGGAUUUCGGCUCGAAGAACAGGACUUGCCUGGGGGAAGAAGCACCUGCUCUUCCUUCCUUCCCAAGGCUGGCUGGACAGGCUGCCCAUGAGCCAGGACCCACCACCUGCCUGCCCUUCUUCCCGUCUUGAUCUAGUUCCAGCAGUGGAGCCUUGGAGAGGUCAAGACUCAAUGUGGGUGUCAAGCAGCCUCUAUCUUUGGAGCCACUGGAUGUCCCAGCCCUUCAGUGGACUCUUGCACGUUCAUGAAGACUGAGUCACAAACGCCCUGUCUCUUUCUUACUGUGGUUAGUAUCUUGUUCUGUGAUUGGUUAGCAGUGUUAACUAUCCAUGUAGCAAAUCUUUUGUCUGCAAUUUAGAGAAUGUGUAAACAAAUAAAAGGC
rnacentral:lncRNA from 1 species